UGCUGUCACAAUAACGCAUAUAUGUAAGCACACGCCCACACAUGAACAUGAAAAAGAGCAGUACUUUACCAGCAUUUGAUCUUUACAAAAGGAAGGGUUCGUAAAAAAAAAA